GGAAGUGCUUGCUCGGCUGGUGCCGGCCGCGGUCUUCAAAACCGUUGAGCCGCAUGGAAAUCAUGUGGUUGGUGGGUUCGAUUCCCAUGCAUUUCCGCCA
rnacentral:tRNA from 2 species